rnacentral:lncRNA from 1 species
UCCCAAAGAAAUAAUGCGUAAAAUAGAAUCCUUUAUGCAUACGCAUAAAGGUGAUUUAUGUAUUUCAUAUUGUAUGAAAAACAUUGAUAUGAGUUGUACCUAGAACGGUACAAGACGAUAUCAGUGCAAGCCCAGGAUCAGAACCAUGGCAACUGUCAAGUAAGUCCUUAAGUAUUUAAGAAAUACUAAAGGAUAGAUUCCUCAAUAAUUGAGGAAGAAUUAGAGUAACGUAAUGGAAGCGUAUAUGUAUUAGAUUAUGAAUCUAAUCCAUCAUUGGAUGUUUCUUCAUUAUGAAUGAAGAAAUAAUCAGAUAUCUCUUUAUUAUGACUAAAGAGAUAUUUGGAUGGAAACAUUAAAGUAAUGACUUUAGUGUGUUCCAUUAUGAAUGCAAAAUAUAUUGCCAUAUAGAAGCUUACAACAAUGUUGUUUGGAUGGGAAAGCUCAUUUAUGAACUCUCUAUUCGGUUCCAACCAGAAAGUGUAUCUAGUGUAUCGAUACUAUGACACUAAUGGGGCGAUAGCUCAAGCCAGGGAAUCAAGGUCUCAUCAAGGUCCGAACUCAUAUGAGAGACUGAACCACAUGAUUGAGAAUCAUGUAUAAUGGUGACGUCGUUAUUCUCAAGGUUGCUUCUAUGGAUAACAUAUAGAUAUCUAUUGUCUAGGCCUACUACUCAGCCAUUUAUGAAAUGACUACAGAAGAGGUAUCAUCACUGAUGACCAAGCUGAUUGGCUCUAGUGCAAGUGGGAGAUUGUUGGAAAUGUGCCCUAAAAGCAAUCAUAUGAUGAUACUUUAUGGACAUUUCACAUGUUAAACUAAUCUAGCUUAAAUAUAAAGGGCAAAGAUUAUUGUUUGAGCUAUCUCAUAUAAAUGUUAUAUGCUUAAACGAUAAGUCCAAGGAAUAUGUGAUUGGGAGAAUGCAAUCU